rnacentral:rRNA from 1 species
CCUACGGGUGGCAGCAGUGGGGAAUAUUGGGCAAUGGGCGCAAGCCUGAACCAGCAACGCCGCGUGAAGGAAGAAGGCUUUCGGGUUGUAAACUUCUUUUAUCAGGGACGAAGCAAGUGACGGUACUUGAUGAAUACGCCACGGCUAACUAUGUGACAGCAGCCGCGGUAAUACGUAGGUGGCAAGCGUUAUCCGGAUUUACUGGGUGUAAAGGGCGUGUAGGCGGGAGGGCAAGUCAGAUGUGAAAACUAGGGGCUCAACCCAUAGCCUGCAGUUGAAACUGUACUUCUUGAGUGCUGGAGAGGCAGGCGGAAUUCCGUGUGUAGCGGUGAAAUGCGUAGAUAUUCGGAGGAACACCAGUGGCGAAGGCGGAUUGCUGGACAGUAACUGACGCUGAGGCGCGAAAGCGUGGGGAGCAAACAGGAUUAGAUACCCCUGUAGUC